GAUGAACGCUAGCGGCAGGCUUAAUACAUGCAAGUCGAGGGGCAGCACGGGUAGCAAUACCUGGUGGCGACCGGCAAACGGGUGCGGAACACGUACGCAACCUUCCCGAAACUGGUGAAUAGCCCUCCGAAAGGAGGAUUAAUACACCGUAAGAUAAUGGAGUGGCAUCACUCUAUUAUUAUAGCUACGGCGGUUUUGGAUGGGCGUGCGCCUGAUUAGGUAGUUGGCGGGGUAACGGCCCACCAAGCCUGCGAUCAGUAACUGGUGUGAGAGCACGACCAGUCACACGGGCACUGAGACACGGGCCCGACUCCUACGGGAGGCAGCAGUAAGGAAUAUUGGUCAAUGGACGGCAAGUCUGAACCAGCCAUGCCGCGUGGAAGGAGUGAAGGCCCUCUGGGUUGUAAAC
rnacentral:rRNA from 1 species